AUUAUAUUCACACUACCAUCUGCCUUUGGAUUGCUUUUAUGCUUCAUGACUACAGCUCUCUGCCUCCACAGACGCAGCAGGUUUUAUGGUGCCAGUCUUUGGUUAUUAUUUAAUAUUAGCAGGAGAAGGAACAAACCCAGAACCCAAAACCAGGACAGCAGAACAUUUACUUGGGUUCAUUACAACAUUCUGGAUGGAGUGAAGGCAGUUUCUUCACCAUUCCAAACUACAGCGAUAUGGAGGAUAGCUGACAAGCAGGAUGUGGAGGCAGUACUGAUGACUAGAAAAACGAGCACAUCACACCACUCAGGAAAUGACUGACCUAAAUAUAUGCUCACGUCGUGGUUUAAACGAUUCUUCAAGAAGAAGAUGCAGUUUUAAAAGAUGUAACAUUUUUUUAUCCCUAAAACUGGGAAUUCAAACAUGCAAUUUAACAUUUUAGUGGUACCAUAUAACCUCUGUUUGCAACUGGACUGAUUUAUGAUGUUUCCUCUAAAUGUAUUUUUAU